UCUCGCAGUUGAUUACUUCCAAGUC
rnacentral:piRNA from 1 species